GAAACUGGGUGAGAAGCCCUGAGCCCUCCUUCGGGGGGAAAUCCGGAAAAAAAAAAAAAAAAGAUCAUUUGAGGAGAGGAGGUCAAUCAACAUCACUGUAUCUGAAAUCUAUAAAAUGGGGGAAACGGCCAUAAUGAACCCUAUUUUUAUUCUGGUCAAAUAAUUCAUGACUUUUGGUAGCUCUCAAUUCAUAGAUUUCAGGGCCGACCGAGGUGCGAGGUGCAGCCGCGGGCGCCCGAAGCCGCCGCACAGGGGAUUUUCACGUGGAGCAAGGAUGCCAUCUAGCGGCCGUGUUGAGGAAAGGCGCCGCCGCCACCGCUCCCUCCUGCCUCUCCGAGAGCCAAGCCACCGCGCCAACAACCCCGAGAAACUUUGAAUAUUAGCCUAAAAGGGGAGGAAAACGAGAGCGGGCGAACGGGAAGGCGUCGGAAAUCAGGAAAUGGUUCAUGAAAUUGUGCAGUUACGUUAAAGAUUUAAAAAAGAGAGAGAGAGGAACAAAAAGAGAGAGAGAGGAUGGGAAGGGGAAAAGAAGUCAGCUUUUCUCUCUCUCACCCCCCACCUCAAGCCCUUAAUUUCGGGCGGAGACGGCCGAGCAGUGCGCCUUGUACGGCCCCUAAAAGAGGGAGCCGAACACUUUUCAAACCCAACACGAUUGUUGCAAAUUCUGAGGGAAAACAAUUGGGCUUUCUGUCGGGGGGAGAGGAGGCCCGAGAGGGUGGGACGAGACUGUAAAAGGAUCAAGAGGCUGCUCGCGCCCAGACGUCUGGCCCCGCCGGACCUGCGUGUGUGUGUGUGUGUGUAUGUGUGUGUGUGUGUGUGUGUGUGUGUGCCCGCGCGUGUGCAGGGGGCUUCUCUUUAUGACGCCCGAUGGAGGGGGGGGGGCGCUUACGAAGAACAAAGACUAGGGUCUCAAUUGCGUUCUGUGAAGCGUUUGUGACAACAAAGUGUUCUUCCCUCGCCCCUCCCUCCUCGCCCCUCUUUGCCCCCUGGGGCCCCCCCGGAAACCCCGCGCUCCGCGCUCCGGGCGGGUGUGGGUGGGGGCGGCCGAGCCCACCCAUUCGCCCGCCAGGCCCGGAGCACAGGCCCAGCUGUGGCUCUCCCAGCUCCGGAAAGUUUCCCCUCACUGUUUGCUUUGCUGCUGUUUAGUUUCUUAACCUUCAGAAAUUUAUACGCUAUAAACUUUUAUAGCGGUCAUAUUCUUUUAUUGCCGCGCACACGGCAUUGAAUUCCUCUCCCGGCUUCUCUCUGGCUCGCACUCUCCCGGUCCCCCUCUCUGAAUCUCUCUCUUUUAUUACGGCAGAUUUCCCCAUCUCCGGCUUCCGAGCCUCUGCAUCUUAGCCUUUGUUUGUCUUUAAAGAAGCCACCCGGGGUUGGGGACCCAGACGCCGCCGCCGCCGGAGGCUUCCCGGGGCGCCCUCGCCCCCCCACCCCCCACCCCGCAGCACUCCGUUCUGUUCCUGCCUCACUUUUUGCGUUUCCUUUUGGCGGAAUCUGGCCUUCUCGGCUCCGUCUCAGCUCAGGCUGGCUCCCGGGAGCCCAGGAUGGGGAGAGAGCCUAGUCUACGCAAGCUCUAAAGGCAGAUUCACUUGAUAUACCGACUGGAACCCGAGGAGGAGUUGGCGGGUUGGGGCCCCGGCGUACCAGGAGCUUCGCCUUCUCCUGCCUCCGGCUGUCUCUCCGAUCGUGCGUUCGCUGGAGAGGGGUAGACCUGGCCUUUUCGCUUCCAGGCCGCUUUCACAAGGGCCAGGCUUUGUCCCCACCUCUAUCCCAACCUCAGGGUCUCCGCGGACUGCAGCGCCGCUGGGUGGGCCCGGUGGGAGGCUCCGGCAGGAGUCCGGCGCCCUAGAGCCAGCCUGGCAGAAGCGGAAUCCCAGCGCCUGGAUGAGAACCGCCUGGCUGCCGACAACAGCGCUCCUCAUCUGAGGCUCUGGUGGUGGACGCCGCAGUCUGAGAGGGACAGAAAGCCUGUAGGAGCUGCCUCCCCAGGCCCCACUCCCACCAAACUCCACCCGCGUUACACCAAGGCUGCUACCCGGGGACUCAGAUUGGAGCCUCAGACUCCAGUCUCCCAGCCCUCCUGUUGGAAGGUUCUUCUCAGUUUAAGCAGAGGUCUUGGGUCCAGACCAGCUAUCAGCUCCUGCAGGAAGCUCACCCUACAAGGUCUAAGGAGAAAUCUCUUGGGCACAGGACUUUCUCUUUUUUUCCAAGCCACCCUCUUGAAACUAGCACCUCUACUUCUGGCCAGCAAGCGGGACUGCUCCGCAGAAGCGUGCGCGCGCAGGUCGCCAUCCAGGCGGGUCUCUGCGCUUCUGCGCUGAAGCGGCAGCUGCCAAGCCCGAGGCUCCUCCGCAGGGGUCGGACUGGGCAGGACUGGAGGAGUAA